rnacentral:rRNA from 1 species
GUGGGUACCGUCAGGCAUAGGGCAGUUACUCCCUACACGGUUCUUCCCACUGACAGGGUUUUACGCACCAAGAUGCUUCAUCGCCCACGCGGCGUUGCUGCGUCAGACUUUCGUCCAUUGCGCAAUAUUCCCU